UCCGGUUUGGCACCGGCAGUCUCUCUAGAGUUCCCGCCAUUACGCGCUGGCAACUGAACACGAGGGUUGCGCUCGUUGCGGGACUUAACCCAACAUCUCACGACGCGAGCUGACGACAGCCAUGCAGCACCUGUGUCCAGGUUCCCUUUCGGGCACCGCUGCAUUUCUGCAGCGUUCCUGGCAUGUCAAGGGUAGGUAAGGUUUUUCGCGUUGCAUCGAAUUAAACCACAUCAUCCACCGCUUGUGCGGGCCCCCGUCAAUUCCUUUGAGUUUCAGUCUUGCGACCGUACUCCCCAGGCGGCGAACUUAACGCGUUAGCUUCGAUACUGAGAGCCUAGUUGCUCCCAACAUCCAGUUCGCAUCGUUUAGGGCGUGGACUAC
rnacentral:misc_RNA from 1 species